UGUAGGGUUAACUCCUGGUCCCGCACCUACGCAACCUGAGGCCGUCAGAGCCUCGGCGGCGCUGCAGCUCCCUCAGACGGAGCUGUUCCCGCUUAGACGGCUGGGCACGUCGCCUCCAGGCCUGGGUGCCAGGAAGCCUUGGAGUGCCAGAGGAGAAGGGAGCAGGCAGGAGGUGGGAGAAGGGAGGGGACCAACGGGCGCGAGCCGUGCAAGAAGAUGGGGCACGGGCGGGAGAGGGGGCGGCAGAGACGUUAAGACUGGCAACGCGGGCGAGGCCAGCAGUCAGGGGGACAAGUAGUGCGAGAGCAGAAGAGCGGGAGACGCUGGCGCGAGCGAGGCUUCUGUAGGCUCCUGAGUUUGCUAUGCAUACCCUGGAGCAUGCAAGGGACAUGGAGGGACAGGAAAGAAGAAGGUAUCUGAGGAGGCUGAAGCCAGUGCUCAUCUGCGAAGUGCAGUUGUGUGGGAACCAGGGCAAACACUGCUCUAGGGAGACAGUCUCUGCUCUGUCGCCCAGAAUGGAGUGCAAUGGUGAAAUCACAACUCCCUGCUGCCUUGAACUCCUGGACUCAAGUGAUCCUACUGCUUCAGCCUCCCAAGUAGCUGGGAUUCUGGUGUACAACACCAUGCCUAGCUAAUUUUUAUUUUAUUUAACUUUUUGUAGAGAUGGGGUCUCGCUAUGUUGCCCAGGCUGGUCUUGAACUCCUGAGCUCAAGUGAUCGACCUCCCGAAGCACUGGGAUUACAGGCAUCAGCCACCAUGCCUGGCCAAAACAAAAAUUAAAAAACAAAAAGAUUUUAAAAUGAGGCACACAAAAAUAAAGCUAGGAAAUGUAGAUGGACA
rnacentral:lncRNA from 13 species